rnacentral:lncRNA from 1 species
CACUCUUUUCUCUCAUAUUGACUCAUAUUUAUCAUCACUGUGUGUUUGUAAAGAUGAUCUGAAUGAAGUGACUCUCCAUCGUUCAGGUAAACUCCUGUGCUUCUGUGUUUCAGUAUUGAUCAUUUUUAUUGAUCAGAUGUGUAUGUCUUCAGUCGUUCAGCUGAAUGUGUUGUCUCUCUCUCGUGUUCAGAUCAGUGGGGGUGGAUUUCUGUCCUUAUUCUCAUUGUUCUUCUGGUUUUGAUCUGUUUCUUGCUGCGGAGAAGGAUCUUCAGGUGUUUUCAGAGGGUAUAGCAGUCCAUCGGUCAGCGUGAAGCUCCAGACAACAGGGAUCUGGGAACGGUCUGAUCUGAUGAUCCUCAUUGCAGAUAUGUUCACUGAAUAUAAACCUAAAAGAGCACUCAGAUCACUAGGAUGGAGUCAGUUAGAAAUACCAAGGGUUCACACAAAACGAGCUGAUGUUUAACCUCAGUGAGAAGGAUGUAGCUGCUGGAGGAAGACUCCGCCCCUUACACCCCGGACCGAAGAAGACUCCGCCCCUUACCUGGACCCUUCCUUCCUGAACACUGCCCCACUACGAACACCAGAAGGACAUCAGAUCCCCUGUUAAAUUUGGACACUUAUACCCUUUAGAUACUUUAUUCUCUGUGUUUUGUUUUUUUUCUAUUAAUAAAAGCCUCUUUUUCCAUGUCUCAGAGGCCUGACACUACCCCCACUGUGUCUGUCGUUUACUCCUCCUGCCACUAUAUAUAUAUAUAUAUAUAUAUAUAUAUAUAUAUUCUUUAACAAUUAUUUCCUUUAACAUUAAAUGUUUAGUACCGUGUGCUGGAAUGAGAGAGAGGAUACAGGGCAGGUUAUUUGAAAAACUGUGAUUGAUGAGGGUCAUAAAAGACAUCUGUUUUCACACCUGUUUUAAUCAUAGACAGUAAAAGAAAUGGAGACAGUGAUUCAACGGAGACAAGUGAAGUCAAUUAGAAGCAGCACUUCCUGGGGGUCGAGCGUACUGAGCUUGAUGACGUAGAUGUCACGUGAGCAACCUGUACGUCUUCUAAUCGCUGUGCGAAGAGGAAUCUGAAUCACCCUCCGAAUCUUGCAGAGAAGGGGCGCGUGAACAGGAGCAAAUGUU